rnacentral:tRNA from 1 species
AGGAUGUACAGUAAAAACGACAGCACUGCUAAUUCUCUCGACCGCGGCUAAAAUCCGCGGCUUCCUCG